GACGGCCGGAUGUCGCGGACCCUAGCAGCCAGGCCUCCGACUGCCCUGCCCUGGCACCGACCCGGGCAAAUUCUCGGCGAGCAGAGCAGGUGCAGGACGCUUGGGGCUGUCCCCGUCCCCGUCACCCACUCCCCGCCCACGCCCUAGGUCUUUCUGUGCGCCCAGCCUGGCGCCGACACGUCCAGACAUCGUUGUCGUGGUUUGGGGACCACUGGACCCCGCGGCGCACAGACCCGCCAGUGGCCCGCGCCCAGGAGAACUCCAGAAGGCGACAAGGAUGACCACCGCCCCUGCAUGGGACACUCGCUAGGUAAACAGUGAGCUCCGCGCUAAGCGCUUUUCAUCUACGCGGGGUCAUUUAUUCAUCACAACGGCCCUACGAGAUGAGGACAGUUACCAGCUCACCUUUCAGAAGAGCAAGCCGAGGAAAGUGGGGCAAUCCGCUGGAAAGUGCAGACGCUAGGAUUCGAACCAAGUCUGGGUGACCUGAAGCUUCCAGUCGUGCAUUUUCUGUCCCUCGAACUCGGAGGUCGAAGACUAAGGCCAGAAUACUGCUCUCCUAGUGCUGGGGAUGAUUCAUUAUUCAAGAGAAUAACAUGAGAAUAGCCUCAAAUCACGACCUACCCCACUUUGCUAGCAACCUGGCCCACCUGCAAUAACAAGGCUCUUUCUCCCCUGCUGAGAAACAUGACUUCCUGCCAAUGAGACGUCCCAGUGCCAAGGAAUGAAGAACUUUCACCCCAACCUAGCUGGUACCACAGGUUGACUGGGCAACUCUUCACAUCUAGACCAGCUUGGCUUGGGCUGAGGCUGGAUAAUCAAAGAGUCUCACCCACGUGUCUGACUGUUGUCAGACUGAGUAGCCUGAAGAAACCUCAGCUGGAACUGCUCAUCUCUGCUUUAUCUGGUCUGUCAUCUUCCAGAAGCCUUCUUCACAAGUGGCAGAAGGGUUCUAAAAUGAACAAGCGAGGGCAAAGCUUUUUCAAGUCUCUCCUUUCAUUGUUUUGCUUAUGUAGAGCAAGCCACCGGCUAAACCCAGAUUAAAAGCAUGAGAAAUCAAAUCCACCUUUUAUUGUGAGAAGUGGCAGAAUCACAAUGCAAAGGGGUGUGCGUACAGCAACCAGAGGAAUGUGCGGCCAUUUUUGUAAUCUACCACAUGGCUUUAGGGCAAAGACUAAAUCAAGGGUGUGAUUAUCGCACCCUAUUUUGAAGAUCUAUGUAAGGAUUAAGGUGGUGCCAUUCAGCUAGACAAAAGAGUUCCUAGAAUGAUGAACUGUGUGGUCCCACAGAAGCCUGAUAUGCCUAUUAUUUAGUAUCUGGUAUUAAGUCUAGAGAGGAAAGGAUGAAAGAAUUGUGAACAUGGCUUUUGGCCCAUGAAGUUGUCUGAAAUCAAAUACAUAGAAAAUACUCAGUUCAGCCAAGCGUGGUGGCUCAUGCCUGUAAUUCCAGCACUUUGGGAGGCCGAGGUGGGUGGAUCACCUGAGGUCGGGAGUUUGAGACCAGCCUGACCAACAUGAAGAAACCCCGUCUCUACUAAAAAUACAAAAAUUAGCCAGCCAUAGUGGCGCACAUGCCUGUAAUCCCAGCCACUUGGGAGGUUGAGGCAGAAGAAUCGCUUGAACCCGGGAGGCGGAGGUUGUGUUGAGCCAAGAUCUUGCCAUUGCACUCUAGCCUAGGCAACAAGAGCAAAACUCCAAAAAAAAAAAAGGAAGGAAGGAAGGAAGGCGGCAAAGUGCCCCCAACUUGGACUGAAGGAGACAAUGUGUAAAAUAAUAUCUAUGUCCCCAACUUUCUACAGAUAGAAAGAGGCUAAAAAAGCUUCCAGCCAACACAGAGGGCAAAUGUUCCAGUGCCCUCUUCCACAGUGCCCAAGGAGGAGGAUGAAAAAGGAAGGACUUUGUGAAUAUCGAGGAAGGUGACAAGAAGGACACCCAGGGGUAAAUACUCCACUGAGAAUUUCGUGUUGCCAAAUGCAAUGUUCAUGUAACUGUAAUAGGUUUGUUUCCCGAUGCACACAGCAAAUCAAUAGGCCAAGACACUGGGCCACAGCAGAGAAACAGGUUUAAUCAUAGGACUGCUGAAUGAGGAGAUAGGAGGAAACCUCAAAUCUGUCUUCCCGAGGAAUUUUGGACUACGGUUUUAAGGGUUUGGAGCAGGCUGAAGUAUGAUCAUUGGUUGGUCAAAGAGUAAAGGAUGAAGUUAUGGGACAGGGAGAUAAAGAAACUGUAUUCUCAUGCUGAUUCUAUUCCACUGGGGAGGUCUUCAAACUGAUUGGCAUCAGCUGUUUCACUGGAAGUCAGGAUCUGCUUAAGAAAUUUUUAGCUUCAGCUUGGCCGGGCGCGGUGGCUCACGCCUGUAAUCCCAGCACUUUGGGAGGCCGAGGCGGGCGGAUCACAAGGUCAGGAGAUCGAGACCACGGUGAAACCCCGUCUCUACUAAAAAUACAAAAAAUUAGCCGGGCGUGGUUGUGGGCUCCUGUAGUCCCAGCUACUCGGGAAGCUGAGGCAGGAGAAUGGCGUGAACCCGGGAGGCGGAGCUUGCAGUGAGCUGAGAUUGCGCCACUGCACUCCAGCCUGGGCUGGGCGACAGAGCGAGACUCCGUCUCAAAAAAAAAAAAAAGAAAUUUUUAAACAAAAGUCUUAUGAUUCCAAAACCAGAGAUCCUAUCUUAAGCAAAAGCCUUAGGAUUUUUUUUUUUUUUUUUGAAACGGAGUUUCGCUCUUGUCACCCAGGCUGGAAUGCAAUGGCGUGAUCUCGGCUCACUGCAACUUCCGCCUCCUGGGUUCAAGUGGUUCUCCUGCCUCAGCCUCUCGAGUAGCUGGGAUUAUAGGCGCCUGCCACCAAGCCUGGCUAAUUUUUAGUAGAGACAGGGUUUCACCAUGUUGGCCAGGCUGGUUUAGAACUCCUGACCUCAGGUGAUCCAUCUGCCUCGGCCUCCCAAAGUGCUGGGAUUACAGCUGUGAGCCACCUCGACCGGCCUCUGAAUUUUUU
ensembl:lncRNA